GUGGGCCUCAUCAUAAUCAGCACGUGUACUAAAAUUGGACUGAUACAGAGAGGAGUAGCUUGGCCACUGUGCAAGGACGACACAGAAAUUCAUGUAGAGCUCCACAGUUUA
ensembl:snRNA U6 U6 spliceosomal RNA